rnacentral:lncRNA from 1 species
GUACGGAAUCGCAUUUGUCGUUAUAAUAGCGACGCGGUCGGUAGCAUAACGAAACUUGUCGUUAUGAGUCCAUAACGACAGCAUAACGAGUUACAGAAUCGCGCUACAGGUCUCCAGAUCUGAAGAGCACA